UACGUAGGUGGCAAGCGUUGUCCGGAUUUACUGGGCGUAAAGAGCGCGCAGGCGGUCGUUCAAGUCGCGUGUGAAAGCCCCCGGCUCAACUGGGGAGGGUCACGCGAUACUGAUCGACUCGAAGGCAGGAGAGGGAAGUGGAAUUCCCGGUGUAGUGGUGAAAUGCGUAGAUAUCGGGAGGAACACCAGUGGCGAAGGCGACUCUCUGGGACGGUACUGACGCUGAGACGCGAAAGCGUGGGGAGCGAACAGG
rnacentral:rRNA from 1 species